NUCCAGCUGAUGAGUCCCAAAUAGGACGAAACGCGCGUCCUGGAU
rnacentral:hammerhead_ribozyme from 1 species